GAUGAACGCUGGCGGCGUGCUUAACACAUGCAAGUCGAACGAAGCAUUCUAACGGAACAUUUUCGGAUGGGAAGUUAAAAUGACUGAGUGGCGGACGGGUGAGUAACGCGUGGAUAACCUACCAUAUACAGGGGGACAACAGUUGGAAACGACUGCUAAUACCGCAUAAGCGCACAGUGCCGCAUGGCACGGUGUGAAAAACUCCGGUGGUAUAUGAUGGAUCCGCGUCUGAUUAGCUAGUUGGUGAGGUAAUGGCCCACCAAGGCAACGAUCAGUAGCCGACCUGAGAGGGUGACCGGCCACAUUGGGACUGAGACACGGCCCAAACUCCUACGGGAGGCAGCAGUGGGGAAUAUUGCACAAUGGGCGAAAGCCUGAUGCAGCGACGCCGCGUGAGCGAAGAAGUAUUUCGGUAUGUAAAGCUCUAUCAGCAGGGAAGAAAAUGACGGUACCUGACUAAGAAGCCCCGGCUAACUACGUGCCAGCCGCCUCAGUAA
rnacentral:rRNA from 1 species